AAUCAACGCUGGCGGCGUGCCUAACACAUGCAAGUCGCGCGCGAAAGGGGGGCAACCCCCGAGUAGAGCGGCGCACGGGUGAGUAACGCGUGGGUGAUCUGCCUCCGAGUGGGGAAUAACAGCGGGAAACUGCUGCUAAUACAGCAUGACAUCCUCGAGUCGCAUCGGGGAUCAAAGCCGGGGACCGCAAGGCCUGGCGCUUGGAGAUGAGCCCGCGUCCGAAUAGCUAGGUGGUGGGGUAAAGGCCUACCAAGGCGACGAUCUGUAGCGGGUCUGAGAGGAUGAUCCGCCACACUGGGACUGAGACACGGCCCAGACUCCUACGGGAGGCAGCAGUGGGGAAUAUUGGACAAUGGGGGGAACCCUGAUCCAGCCAUGCCGCGUGUGUGAAGAAGGCCUUAUGGUUGUAAAGCACUUUAAGCGAGGAGGAGGCUCUUUUGGUUAAUACCCAGAAUGAGUGGACGUUACUCGCAGAAUAAGCACCGGCUAACUCUGUGCCAGCCGCCGCCGUAACAC
rnacentral:rRNA from 1 species